UUUUGAAACAAGGUGAGAUGAGUGUUGGUGGUGGGUGCCAUGCGUCACGAGACCGUGCUCGAGUCUAGGGGCGGAUCCGCCAUGGUGGCUCAAGCCCUCUAUAAGCCCCUAUUCAAUUUAUCCUACCAUCAUUUAUCCUAAUCCACUACGUUUUCCUUCCUCCGGGCGGGAUUCACGCACGGGGGCGCGAUCUGCGGGCGGGAUUCGCGCGGCGGGCGCGAUCUGCGGGCGGGGUGCAACAGGCAUCGCGCGACGGCGCGACGGCGGCGGGCCUCAGCGCGACGCGGAUGGCGGUGCUAGGAAAAAACAGGACGGCGAGCAAGCAAGCGGCGGCUCCAUCAACCACGGCUUCACCUCAUGCAUGCCGACGCUGACCUCCUCGGUGUCUCCCACACCUCCUAUGCUCGGUUACAGCCCAGGUAGCCGUUCUCGCCGUCACAAUCGCCACCACCGAGCACGCGCCAAUGACGCAUGCAAUGAUGCAAGGUGUUCGACGUUUGGUCGCGACCUGGACGCCCGUGUUCUGACAUCUACGACCACUUCCUCUGCAUCGCCCACGGCUUCCUCGACAUCUCCUUCAGCCCAGGACGCCAUCCUCGCCAUCCCCAUCAGUUGCAGACACGCAGUUGCAGGUUCUACGUCGAGCUGCCCAGUGACUGCCUGAACAUUACCUGCAGGUGUGGAUUUGAGUUCUGCUAAGCGAUGGGAGCUGAUAGAUGACGGCUGUCCUGGGGCAUGAAGUAGAUUUCAUUCAUAUGUAUACUCAUUGCAAUAUAUAUACAUUUCUGGGAAAAUUGCAAAUUUUAGAAGACAACAGAUGACCAAAGCAUGCAUCACAUUAUCCACUACAACAGUGAUCAAUACAUGGAAUCCCGUGGGACAUACAACGCAAAAGACUUUCCCAGCUGAGUCACCAUCUGAGUUCAAGUUCUCCCUUCUUCCUGUGAUCCUUGCAGCUGUGAGAAAUUUCUGCAUUUUUUCCUUCUUACGCAGCAGCUGUGAGAAAGCAACAAUUGCUCUGUGAUCCUUGCGGCUCUAUCCAAAGGAAAAAAAUCGCACUGUGGCUGCAUUACACAACAAUGUCAUCAGGCAGCUGAAAAAAAAUGAGCUCCUGCGAUGCACAAAAAGACCUUUUGUGUGCUGAUAUACAAAUAUGCUAUAAGUUUUUGUUUUGUAUACAAGGAAGAUAAUGAUCAAAUAUAAAAACCUUGCCCCUUGAU